rnacentral:ncRNA from 1 species
UAAAUACUGGCGAGAGACCGAUAGCGAACAAGUACCGUGAGGGAAAGAUGAAAAGAAUUUUGAGAAUUAAACAGUACGUGAAA